UCUAUGGGCCAUAUCACCCUGAAUGUACCCCUAUUGCAUCUGGUCUUGGAAGCUAAUCAGGUUGGGCCUGGUUAGUACUUGGGUGGGAGAUGUAUCAUUUAGUUCUUACUCUCUAAAGCUUCUUGUUUUCAGAA
rnacentral:rRNA from 1 species